UACAGAGGUCUCAAGCGUUGUUCGGAUUCAUUGGGCGUAAAGGGUGCGUAGGUGGCGCCGUAAGUCAGGUGUGAAAUUUCGGAGCUUAACUCCGAAACUGCAUUUGAUACUGCGGUGCUUGAGGACUGGAGAGGAGACUGGAAUUCACGGUGUAGCAGUGAAAUGCGUAGAUAUCGUGAGGAAGACCAGUGGCGAAGGCGGGUCUCUGGGCAGUUCCUGACACUGAGGCACGAAGGCUAGGGGAGCAAGCGGG
rnacentral:rRNA from 1 species